CAGCCGCCGCGGUAAAACCAGCACCUCAAGUGGUCAGGAUGAUUAUUGGGCCUAAAGCAUCCGUAGCCGGCUCUGUAAGUUUUCGGUUAAAUCUGUACGCUNAACGUACAGGCUGCCGGGAAUACUGCAGAGCUAGGGAGUGGGAGAGGUAGACGGUACUCGGUAGGAAGUGGUAAAAUGCUUUGAUCUAUCGAUGACCACCUGUGGCGAAGGCGGUCUACCAGAACACGUCCGACGGUGAGGGAUGAAAGCUGGGGGAGCAAACCGGAUUAGAUACCCGGGUAGUCCCAGCUGUAAACUAUGCAAACUCAGUGAUGCAUUGGCUUGUGGCCAAUGCAGUGCUGCAGGGAAGCCGUUAAGUUUGCCGCCUGGGAAGUACGUACGCAAGUAUGAAACUUAAAGGAAUUGGCGGGGGAGCAC
rnacentral:rRNA from 1 species